rnacentral:lncRNA from 1 species
CAGGGGUGGUGAUCCCAGUGGGGAAUAUUCCGACAGCGAUUACCACUGCAGGCACACUUUGUCUUUUUCUUGCUUACUCAUGAUGCAUCACCAAAGUUAAAAAGUAAACCAGAGAGCGGAUCGUUAUGCCGGGCAUCAGCAGCUCAAUAUUUUUGAAAUACAGCUUCGGAGCUUAAUAUUUACAAACUUUGCUUUACAACGUUCAGUGGUAUUCAUGUGUUUGGUAAUUGCUAUGUUGCAUGUUUUAUGUGUAUUCUUUAUCCCAUAGGCAGUUCCUGAACUGAGUUUAUUUUAUUUUAUUUUGUUUUCUUCCUGAUUGAUCAGGACCAGUAAGUAAUCUUUAGAAAAUUUGUUUGUUCUGUUUGUUCCUGUCUUCUUCCUAAAUGUGUUUGAUGAGUGGGUGAUUUGUUUGUGCUGUCAUUACAAAAACCAUAUGUUAAUGUGGUCUUAUGGAGGAGUGUUUUUAUUAUUUUAAGAGUUCAGCUAAGGAUGUUUCCAAAGGAGUCAUAAUUGCUCUUCUAAGUACAAAGGCUGAACAAUGACUGGCUUACAAAUAAUGCCAAAAAUCUGUUCAGCUCAGUCUAAUUAUUUCAAAGACUAAAAUCUGUUUCUCAGAAAUGUCUUCUUUCCACAGUCUGAACUCCUUAACGCACUAAGAAAUUAUGUUUAUUCAGGUUCUCUAUGGAUUUACAUUCCAAGUGCCCUGAGACUAGAUCUCUUCAGGUGGAUCAGCAAGCUGAUCUUCCUUUCUACAUGGCCACGAUUGCUAGGCCAGCAUGAAAGAUGCUAUGAGUGCACCGGUGGAAGCAAGAACAUGACUUCCUCUUUUGGCAACAGCAGAGUUUUAGAUCAGCUUCAGCAGGCAGCAGUUCCCCUGUCCUCUGGCAGCUGAUCCCUGAUCCACUGAAGUUAAUGGAAAAUGUUUCACUGAUUUCAAUACAACCACAAUCCGUCUCUGAUCCAAACACGAUUAAUAUGGGAAAAAUAUUGCAAACAGUUGAAAGACAAAUGUACAAAAUAACACGUAAGCUUCGACGUAUCACUUCGAUGCAAAG